rnacentral:rRNA from 1 species
AACGAACGCUGGCGGCAUGCCUAACACAUGCAAGUCGAACGAGACCUUCGGGUCUAGUGGCGCACGGGUGCGUAACGCGUGGGAACCUGCCUUUAGGUUCGGAAUAACUCAGAGAAAUUUGAGCUAAUACCGGAUGAUGUCUUCGGACCAAAGAUUUAUCGCCUUUAGAUGGGCCCGCGUUGGAUUAGCUAGUUGGUGGGGUAAAGGCCUACCAAGGCGACGAUCCAUAGCUGGUCUGAGAGGAUGAUCAGCCACACUGGGACUGAGACACGGCCCAGACUCCUACGGGAGGCAGCAGUGGGGAAUAUUGGACAAGGGGCGAAAGCCUGAUACAGCAAUGCCGCGUGAGUGAUGAAGGCCUUAGGGUUGUAAAGCUCUUUUAACCGAGAUGAUAAUGACAGUAUCGGGAGAAUAAGCGCCGGCUAACUCCGUG